rnacentral:tRNA from 1 species
GGAGAGAUGGCUGAGCGGUCAAAAGCAGCAGACUGUAAAUCUGCCGGGCCUUGCCCUACGAAGGUUCGAAUCCUUCUCUCUCCACCA